GGGAAACUGCCUGAUGGAGGGGGAUAACUACUGGAAACGGUAGCUAAUACCGCAUGACCUCGUAAGAGCAAAGUGGGGGACCUUCGGGCCUCACGCCAUCGGAUGUGCCCAGAUGGGAUUAGCUAGUAGGUGAGGUAAUGGCUCACCUAGGCGACGAUCCCUAGCUGGUCUGAGAGGAUGACCAGCCACACUGGAACUGAGACACGGUCCAGACUCCUACGGGAGGCAGCAGUGGGGAAUAUUGCACAAUGGGCGCAAGCCUGAUGCAGCCAUGCCGCGUGUGUGAAGAAGGCCUUAGGGUUGUAAAGCACUUUCAGCGAGGAGGAAGGGUUCAGUGUUAAUAGCACUGUGCAUUGACGUUACUCGCAGAAGAAGCACCGGCUAACUCCGUGCCAGCAGCCGCGGUAAUACGGAGGGUGCAAGCGUUAAUCGGAAUUACUGGGCGUAAAGCGCACGCAGGCGGUUUGUUAAGUCAGAUGUGGAAUCCCCGAGCUUAACUUGGGAACUGCAUUUGAAACUGGCAAGCUAGAGUCUUGUAGAGGGGGGUAGAAUUCCAGGU
rnacentral:rRNA from 1 species